UUGGAGUGCAGUGGAGACAUAAGAAUAAUUUUAAAUGCAAAUUAAAUUGUGGGGGUAGCAAAGAGAACAGAUAAAAGACAGUAAAACAAAGCCCUUCACUUUCCUCAAAUUAGCAGGCUCAUGUAAUAUAUAUAUAAAAAAGCGGCACUACUCAGAUCUCUGCUAAGAGCUUUCAUUUCAUCAUAAUAUAAAACAGCAGAUCCGUCACCUUUCUCUGUUCAGUAGUCUUGAUUUUAAGGUUGAAGUGAAAAUUAGAAGCUGCUUGUUCUGGCUCACAGACUGGGGUUGCAUUUGCUUAGUCUUAUUUAUGACAGUAGGAUGGAAAGAGGUCAGUAACACUGGAAUCUGACUGAUCAUUGAUUCAGGAGUUUUGUUUGCAAACACAAGGUCCUUGAAAAUGGACUACUUUUUGGAUGUCGAGUCUGCUCACAGACUGUUUUACAGUCAAGGGGCUCAAGCUCGUCGGGCAACUCUUCUCACUGUGCCCACACUGAUGACAGCAUCUUCGGAGGAGGACAUAGACCGGAGACCCAUCAGAAGACUUCGGUCUAAGAGUGACACCCCCUACCUGGAAGAGGCAAGGAUCUGCUUCAACC